AGUCGAGCGGCAGCGCGAGUAGUUUACUACUUGGCGGCGAGCGGCGGACGGCUGAGUAACGCGUGAGAACACACCCCAAAGUGAGGAAUAACUGCCCGAAAGGGUAGCUAAUGCCGCAUAUGAUCUUCGGAUUAAAGGAUUUAUCCGCUUUGGGAGUGGCUUGCGUACGAUUAGGUAGUUGGUGAGGUAAAGGCUCACCAAGCCCACGAUCGUUAACUGGUUUGAGAGGAUGACCAGUCAGACUGGAACUGAGACACGGUCCAGACUCCUACGGGAGGCAGCAGUGAGGAAUCUUCCACAAUGGACGAAAGUCUGAUGGAGCAACUCCGCGUGCAGGAUGAAGGCCUUCGGGUUGUAAACUGCUUUUAUGAGUGAAGAAUAUGACGGUAACUCAUGAAUAAGGGUCGGCUAACUACGUGCCAGCAGCCGCGGUCAUACGUAGGACCCAAGCGUUAUCCGGAGUGACUGGGCGUAAAGAGUUGCGUAGGUGGUUUGUUAAGCGAAUAGUGAAAUCUGACGGCUCAACCGUACAGACUGUUAUUCGAACUGGCAAACUCGAGAAUGGUAGAGGUAACUGGAAUUUCUGAAGUAGGGGUAAUACCCGUAGAUAUCAGAAGGAACACCAAUGGCGUAGGCAGGUUACUGGACCAUUUCUGACACUGAGGCACGAAAGCGUGGGGAGCGAACCGGAUUAGAUACCCGGGUAGUCCACGCCGUAAACGAUGGAUACUAGCUGUUGGAGGUAUCGACCCCUUCAGUAGCGAAGCUAACGCGUUAAGUAUCCCGCC
rnacentral:rRNA from 1 species